CGAAGAACCUUACCAGGCCUUGACAUGCAGAGAACUUUCCAGAGAUGGAUUGGUGCCUUCGGGAACUCUGACACAGGUGCUGCAUGGCUGUCGUCAGCUCGUGUCGUGAGAUGUUGGGUUAAGUCCCGUAACGAGCGCAACCCUUGUCCUUAGUUACCAGCACGUUAUGGUGGGCACUCUAAGGAGACUGCCGGUGACAAACCGGAGGAAGGUGGGGAUGACGCCAAGUCAUCAUGGCCCUUACGGCCUGGGCUACACACGUGCUACAAUGGUCGGUACAAAGGGUUGCCAAGCCGCGAGGUGGAGCUAAUCCCAUAAAACCGAUCGUAGUCCGGAUCGCAGUCUGCAACUCGACUGCGUGAAGUCGGAAUCGCUAGUAAUCGUGAAUCAGAAUGUCACGGUGAAUACGUUCCCGGGCCUU
rnacentral:rRNA from 1 species